rnacentral:rRNA from 1 species
GGCGCGAAAACUCUACAAUGCAGGCAACUGCGAUAGGGGAACAUCGAGUGAUCCUCAUAUUGGGGGUCUGUCCCAUCGUCUAAAAAACGGUGGUUAGCAAGGGCCGGGCAAGACCGGUGCCAGCCGCCGCGGUAAUACCGGCGGCUCGAGUGGUGGCCGAUAUUAUUGAGUCUAAAGGGUCCGUAGCCGGCUUUGCAAGUCUCUCGGGAAAUCCAGCGGCUUAACCGUUGGUCGUCCGGGGGGUACUACAUUGCUUGGGACUGGGAGAGGUAGGAGGUACUCAGGGGGUAGGAGUGAAAUCCUGUAAUCCUCUGGGGACCACCGGUGGCGAAGGCGUCCUACCAGAACAGGUCCGACGGUGAGGGACGAAAGCUAGGGGCACGAACCGGAUUAGAUACCCGGGUAGUCCUAGCCGUAAACGAUGCUCGCUAGGUGUCACAACAGUCGUGAACUGUUGUGGUGCCGUAGGGAAGCCGUGAAGCGAGCCACUUGGGAAGUACGACCGCAAGGUUGAAACUUAAAGGAAUUGGCGGGGGAGCAC